rnacentral:rRNA from 1 species
AUUGAACGCUGGCGGCAUGCUUUACACAUGCAAGUCGAACGGUAACAGGCCUUCGGGUGCUGACGAGUGGCGAACGGGUGAGUAAUGCAUCGGAACGUACCCAGAGGUGGGGGAUAACGCAGCGAAAGCUGUGCUAAUACCGCAUGUGAUCUGAGGAUGAAAGCGGGGGACCGAGCAGCAAUGUUUGGCCUCGCGCCUUUGGAGCGGCCGAUGUCGGAUUAGCUAGUUGGUGGGGUAAAGGCCUACCAAGGCGACGAUCCGUAGCUGGUCUGAGAGGACGAACAGCCACACUGGGACUGAGACACGGCACAGACUCCUACGGGAGGCAGCAGUGGGGAAUUUUGGACGAUGGGCGAAAGCCUGAUCCAGCAAUGCCGCGUGCGGGAAGAAGGCCUUCGGGUUGUAAACCGCUUUUGGCAGGAACGAAACGGUGUCCGCUAAUACCGGGCGCUAAUGACGGUACCUGCAGAAUAAGCACCGGCUAACUACGUG